UACGUAGGGUGCAGGCGUUAAUCGGAAUUACUGGGCGUAAAGCGUGCGCAGGCGGUUCGCUGUGUCCGAUGUGAAAGCCCCGGGCUCAACCUGGGAAUGGCAUGGGAAACUGGCGGGCUGGAGUGUGGCAGAGGGGGGUGGAAUUCCGCGUGUAGCAGUGAAAUGCGUAGAGAUGCGGAGGAACACCGAUGGCGAAGGCAGCCCCCUGGGCCAACACUGACGCUCAGGCACGAAAGCGUGGGGAGCAAACAGG
rnacentral:rRNA from 1 species